rnacentral:rRNA from 1 species
UACAGAGGUCCCAAGCGUUGUUCGGAUUCAUUGGGCGUAAAGGGUGCGUAGGCGGCGGGGUAAGUUGGAUGUGAAAUCUCGGGGCUCAACCCCGAAACUGCAUUCAAUACUGCCUUGCUUGAGUACUGGAGAGGAGACUGGAAUUCAUGGUGUAGCAGUGAAAUGCGUAGAUAUCAUGAGGAAGGCCAGUGGCGAAGGCGGGUCUCUGGACAGUUACUGACGCUGAGGCGCGAAGGCCAGGGGAGCAAACGGG